GGCAAAUGCUCAGCUUGCUAACCAUUUGUCAGGGAUGGCUUACUUUUGCAUAGCAGUAUCUAUGUGUACUGACAGUCUGGAGACAUCCUGAGUGCCAGUAAGGAAAGACACAUUUACAUUACUUCAUAGUUACUCUUUUUCUCUUUCAAUGCAGCUCCAUCCCUUCCUUAGCAGUGUCUCCUUUAACAACUCUGCUGGAGAAACUGUAUCUUUUGGUGAGAACAGGGAAGUAGAAGCUGGCUUUGAUAUUACCAACAUGGUCACUUUUCCAAAUAACUCCUUCGUGAGGGUCAAGGUUGGAAGGGUGGAUGUGGAAGCCAUCCCAGGCCAGCAAAUUUCCAUUGAUGACAACCAAAUGGUGUGGCACAGAAGCUUUCACCAGUUUCCACCCCUUUCUGUGUGUAACCCAAAUUGCCCUCCUGGUACCAGCAA